GACGUAGGGGGCCAGCGUUGUUCGGAAUUACUGGGUGUAAAGGGUUCGUAGGCGGCGCGGCAAGUUGGGAGUGAAAUCUCUGGGCUCAACCCAGAGUCUGCUUCCGAAACUGCUGUGCUUGAGUGUGGGAGAGGCGCGUGGAAUUGCAGGUGUAGCGGUGAAAUGCGUAGAUAUCUGCAGGAACACCCGUGGCGAAAGCGGCGCGCUGGACCACUACUGACGCUGAGGAACGAAAGCUAGGGGAGCAAACAGG
rnacentral:rRNA from 1 species